UUCAAAUAGGUUGCCUUUACUCUGGGCAAAGAACUGUGGGCAGAGGUCGGGGUUAGAGAGGAGUGGGAGGCAGACACUUGACUGUGUUCAAAUUGAAGUCAAGAGUGCAAGAAUGCAGAGCAAUAAAACCGUUAAGUUGGAGAAGCAGAAUCAUACCCCAGGAAAGCAUCAUCAAUAUCACCACCACCACCAGCAGCACCAUCAGCAGCAGCAGCAGCAGCAGCAGCAGCAGCAGCAGCAGCCACCCCCACCAAUACCUGCAAAUGGACAGCAGGCCAGCAGCCAGAAUGAAGGCUUGACUAUUAACCUGAAGAAUUUUAGGAAACCAGGAGAGAAGACCCAACAUAGCCUUCUCUUUGUGGGCAAUCUUCCUCCUGAUAUCACUGAGGAGGAAAUGAGGAAACCUUUUGAGAAAUAUGGAAAAGCAGGCGAAGCUUUCAUGCUUAAGGAUAAAGGGUUUGGCUUUAUUCACUUGGGAACACGAGCCCUAGUGGAAAUCGCCAAAGUGGAGCUAGACAGUAUGCCACUCUGUGGAAAGCAGCUGCGAGUGUGUUUUUUCUGUCACAAUGCAUCCCUUACGAUCCGCAACCUUCCUCAGUACGUGUCCAACGAACUGCUGGAAGAAGCCUUUUCCGAGUUUGGCCAGGUGGAGAGGGCUGUAGUCAUUGUGGAUGAGCGAGGAAGGCCCUCGGGGAAAGGCAUUGUUGAGUUCUCAGGGAAGCCAGCUGCUCGGAAAGCUCUGGACAGAAGCAGCGAAGGCUCCUUCUGAAUCACAUUUCCUCGGUCUGUGACUGUGGAGCCUAUGGACCAGUCAGAUGAUGAAGAGGGACUUCCAGAGAAGCUGGCUAUAAAAAAAAAAAAAAACCAGCAAUUUCACAAGGAGAGAGAACAGCCACCCAGAUUUGCACAACCUAGGUCCUUUGAGUAUGAGUGUGCCAUGCACUGGAAGACACUCAUUGAGAUGGAGAAGCAACAGCAGGAUCAAGUGGACCCGAACAUCAAGGAGGCUUGUGAGAAGCUGGAGAUGGGAGAUGGAGGUGGCACACUAUGAGCUCCAGGUUAUGCUAAUGAGGCAGGAUUUGAUGAGACGUCAAGAAGAGCUUCGGAGGAUGGACGAACUGCAUAACCAAGAGGUUCAGAAACGAAAGCAGUUAGAACUCAGGCAGUAAGAGGAACUCCGGCGCCAUGAGGAAGAGAUGCAGCGACAACAAGAAGAAAUGAUGUGACAACAGCAGGAAGGACUCAAGGGAACCUUCCCUGAUGCGAGAGAACAAGAGAUACAGAUGGGCCAAAUGGCUAUGGGAGGUGCUGUGGGCAUAAACAAUAGAGGUGCCAUGCCCCCUGCUCCUGUACCACCUGGUAUUCCAGCUCCUCCAGGGCCUGCCACUACGAUGCCAGAUGGAACCCUUGGAUUGACCCCACCAACAGCCGAAUGUUUCAGCCAAGCUGCUACAAUGGAAGGAAUUGGAGCAAUUGGUGGAACUCCUCCUGCAUUCAAUCGUCCAGCUCCCGGGAGCUGAAUGUGCUCCAAAUAAAUGCCGCCGGUAUUAG